UCUUUUCUUUUUAAUCACUUAAUCCCAGGUUUUCUCGCCCAAUUUUGCAUGGGCUGUGCACACUUGGAUUUGCUGUUAGGGCUAUCAUAAAAUGUAUUUGCAAAGGGGACCCAAACAUGAUAAAGAACAUAUCUGGCAGAUUUUUAUUACAUGUGUAUCCAGGUGAAACCUUAAUGACAGAAAUGUGGCUGGAAGGUUUAAGGGUUAUAUAUCAGGUGAAGGUGAAAGAGCGUAAAAGGGCAGUGCUUUAUGGUUUUGUAGAUCUUCACCGUUUAAGUUCAUCUCUGUGAUCGGAGGUUCUGUUUUCUCCUCUAUGAAAUAUGUUAUAUGUGUAACUGGAGGAGUUUGUUUCUCGUUACACAACACAUAAUGGUUUCACUAGAUCUGCCUACACACAAGUAGACAUUUUUGCCGUUAGUUCUAUCAUUCCACGUUUAUUAUCCCGAAUAAGAUACAUCAGAUCAAAUGAUGUUUUCAAAAUGUUACGUUGCUCCCUAUUAUGCUA